AUGUGGACAUUCCUGCUACUUCUUUGGAGCCAAGGUUCUGUAUUCAGUGUCCUCCUCUACCAAAAGCCAAACAGGGACAUCUGUCAAAGUGGCACUUCACUGAAAAUCCAGUGUGUGGCUGACAGUCAAGUUGUUUCGAUGUUUUGGUACCAACAGUUCCAGGAACAGAGCUUGAUGCUCAUGGCAACUGCAAAUGAAGGCUCUGAAGCCACAUACGAGAGUGGAUUCACCAAGGACAAGUUUCCAAUCAGCCGGCCAAACCUAACAUUCUCAACGUUGACAGUGAACAAUGCAAGGCCUGGAGACAGCAGUAUCUAUUUCUGUAGUUCUAGAGA